UACAGAGGUCCCAAGCGUUGUUCGGAUUCACUGGGCGUAAAGGGUGCGUAGGCGGUCGGGUAAGUCUGAUGUGAAAUCUCACAGCUUAACUGUGAAACUGCAUUGGAUACUAUCCGGCUCGAGGAAUGGAGGGGAGACUGGAAUACUUGGUGUAGCAGUGAAAUGCGUAGAUAUUGGGAGGAACACCGGUGGCGAAGGCGGCCCCCUGGACCGGUACUGACGCUGAGGCGCGAAAGCGUGGGUAGCAAACGGG
rnacentral:rRNA from 1 species